GCUACACAUUACUGCUAGGAUCAUUGGGCUACCAACUCUAGUUUGGUACAGAAGCAAAAGUUUUAACUAUAUCUUAAGGUUGUUCCAGUAUCUUUGUAAUUGAGUUCGGUUUGCGAGGCACAACACAACAGUUUAUCGUUUUAGGCAAAAUUGACUCAUCACGAAGCGAAGAAGUCAUCAGGAUAUCGCAUCGAAAUUUCCAUAGGAACGAAGGAGAUAAAUCAAGAAUUGCCCGACGUAAGCGAUUAAAAUACACCGCAGCACGGACUAGGUAAUAAUCGAAUAAAAUUCACAUCUUUGUUGAUCCGCAAAACGAGAUAAGGCACAAAAUCGGGCAAAAUGUUUGCGAUCAUGCAGAUCGAUAACGACGUGAGUGGUAGAGAGUUCCGUAGAAAAAUGCGUUCCAAAUGCGAAUACGUUUGCAAAUACUGCCAAAGAAGGUUCACCAAAAGCUACAAUCUGAUGAUACACGAGAGGACCCACAAUUCCUUGACUUUCAUCUGCGAAGUUUGCGGGAAGAACUUCAAGAGACAGGACAACCUGAAACAGCACAGAUGUAAUCAAUGCAUAUGGCGGUAAAGGGAUCCUUGGAACCUGGGCAAGUCCAGCCCUGUCUUCUUGUAAUACAAUGACAAUACAUUAUCCAUCGUCACCAUCAACUCACAACUGCUGUUCGAGAUACUGAUAGAUAAUUCCAUAGAUUAACAAAUUCCACUACAGUAUUCACCAGUAUUCUAUUUAUUGUAUUGUUUGUAUUACAAAUGUACAUAUUUUAAAUUAUGUAGGUUAACAUAUUUAAUAUAAAAAUCGCAAUAUAUUUAUAUAACUCGAUAAAGUACCAUGUUUCAAUUUGACACGUUGUUAAUUUAUAAAAAAAAACAGACUAUGUGAUGUCUAGUCUCAAAUUUAUUUUAUUUUAAAUGAGUUAUUAAAAUUGAUGACAUGUGAGGACGAUAAUGCAUCAGAAUCCAUGAUGAAUAUUUUCAUUACAGUUUACUGAUAUGAAACUAUAUCUUCUACGCUGGAUUCGCUGCAAUUUCUGCAAUAUUCUAGUGCAAUUUUCCAAUUGUAUCACUUUGAAUUUGCGUUGUUUCAUGCUUUCAAAAUGUAUCCUAAGUUUCUUCUACUAAUAUCCUUCGGAACUGUGAAUGAAAACUGAAUUUUUUUUGUUCUAUGCAAAAAUAAUGUCAGUAGCUUGUUUAGUUCGUUAGACUUGAUGCAAUAUAAAAUACGUAACUAUUCUAGAGGUUAUUUAUUAAAUUAGGACUAAGAGCUUCUUAUUAUAUUUGUAUAUUUUUUGUAGAAUAAAAUUUCAGACACA